AUAAUGAAGAUAGAUAGAAACGAGGUCUCGUUUAUCAGUGCUGCUUUUUCCUUUUUGUUCAAACCUCCAUUAGUCACAGUCCCAUCGGUCAUCAGAAUGGUUGCUGUGGAAGUGAAUUACAUCCAUAUUUAUUCGGUGCGAACUGAUUCUCAGGACGCCUAAAUUACAAAUUUGAAGAAUGGUCUAUUUGCAUUCAUGACUUGGAUGAUUGAGAGUACGAAUCGAAGAGUGAAAGUAGAGAAAAAGCAAGUAGAAGAAGUUACGGUGCUGUGAAAAAGACUCCAGCAAGUCGAGAAAAUUGAUUUUCUGCUGGUUUUUGAUGUUUAAGCUGUGGAAACCCUCGUGGCUGAAGCUUUGAGCUUGAUCCGUCUUCUUUCUAAGUUUUGUAAGUGCAUUAUUUGAUCUCAUAUGGUAUGGAAAUAUACGGGUUGUUCUAAGGCUUCCAUAAUCCCAAGCAAAACUUGAUUUUUUUUCGUGUUUGUUUGAUUCAUGGGAAGCCAAUAUGGAAGACUCAUGGGAUAAAUCUGAGUCAUCUGACCAUGAGAACCGGUAAAACUUGAGAUAAUAGUAGAUUUUGGGUUGUUAUAUCUUGAGAUUUUUACUCAGGUGUAGAUUUCUGAUAUUAAAAGGUAAGGCUUCCAUAAUCCCAAGCAAAACUUGGUUUUUUUUUCGUGUUUGUUUGAUUCAUGGGAAGCCAAUAUCGAAGUCUCGUGGGAUGUUUCGCUGAUAAAUACCUUUUUAAUGUUAAUCUGGAGGUGUUUUAAUAGUAGCUUCCCAUACAUAUGAUCUAGAAUCUAAUUCAGGGUCUUAUAUAAAUUGACAUCUAUGGGUGUGUAUGUCAGGGAGUAGAUGUGGCUGCAGCUUUUAAAGCUGACCAUGAGAACCUGCAACGAGCAGGCGCAGGUGUUUUUGGAAGAAAGCAUCAAACAGUUGAAAGCUUUGAGGAAGAACCAAAGCCAAGCAAGCAGAAAAAGAUUCCGCCUCCGUUUUUUGAUAAGGAGAAGGAUUGGAGGGAACAAAUGGUGAAGCUAUUUAUGGAAGUAAUUUCGAAACUGAAACCCGAUGAUGCUGCAACAAUCAUACAGAGGCUGAGAGAAGUUUGCUCUUUGGAUUACGAAGUGGCUGCAGCACAAGAUCACUAAGGCCAUUAUUGGUGCUCCUGCUCUCGUCUCGUUUGCUGUGUUUCUGUUGUUGAUCUGAGGUAGAUUGGAGAGGUGGUGGAUCUCUAGAUUUCCCGUGUUUCAUCUUUGGUGGCCUUUGUUCACCAGUUAUCCUUUGUUAUUGAGAUUUUAACUAUGUUUAUUAGUUAGGGUUAUUUGGUUCAGAUAUUUUGACUUUGAUGUUUAAGUUUGCUAUGAAGAGAUAUGUAUCCUAGCAAUUAUUGAAUCAAUCUUAGGUUCUGAACAAAAA